UGUCCUGUGAGUUGCCACCCGUGGGCAAAAUAAAGUUAAGACGAAACUUUCCAAAGUAAAAUUAAGUUUCUCUGUGCAUCCUCUGAUGUUAUGUGAAACAGGAGUUGUACUUCAGUCACCAGUAAGAAGAUACAUAAAUAAAUCAAGACUGCUGCCACAUUUGGCGCUAUCCCCAUCUUGGCAGUCUCUACGAGGCCAAGAGUUGAGCUGGCCACGGAAGGGUGAUUUAUCUAGGGGGUACCUUUACAACAGGAAAGCUGGACGACUAAUGGACUUUGAAUUCUAACCGAGUCAAACCAGUACCCUUGUUGAGUAUUCGUUAAAAAAAAAAAAAAAAAAGAAUCUGAAUCUUCUAUGUCACUGACAAAAACAAGUUUAAUAAGGCACCACAGUCCAAUUCAAUUUGGAGAAAACAAAGUUGUUUUUCUCCAAAACAGGAAAAAAAAUUAUACUAACUAGAUCUGUUUUACUCACCCAAGUCAAUACUUGGAAGAUUAAAAGAAAACUGGUAUGCGGAUGCUAAGAGGCCAGAGGUUGGGGGGCUGUGGGCGGAAGCUGCCCAGGCUCCAAACUACCGCCGGCCCAGUGGGCAGCAGUGCCCGACCCACGGCGGGCAGUCCCGGGUCCGUCUGAUGGACACCGGUUUGACAUACGCCAAACCCCCGCCGUCUGGUUCGUCGCUCUGACCCUGCCAAUGCAGCAAACGGCCAGACCCUCUCCGCGCUGUAACGAGCAGAGCGGCCCGCUCGCGUCCAGCCUUAGCCGGGCACUGCGCGUCCAGGGGAGGGUUCAGACUAAAUGAAGGACGAAAAACAACAAAGCUGCAUGAGGAAACAAGAAGUGAUUGCCAGGCUCCUCCGAGGGCCCAGGGCUGCUUGGGACCUGCAGAAUUGCUGAACAGGGGAGUCGCUGUGGGUGAAGGGGUGCAGGUAAGCCCUCGGGAACAGGUGCCUGGGAUAGUCAAGAUGUGUUUUCCCAGUG